UUAAGUAAGUAAAUAAAAGAUGAAGGAGGGCACAGUUUUGGAAGGGCUAGGAAGACAGUUUCAAAGAUGUAUAUGAAGCCCCGUCCAUAAUCAUUUGUAAGCAUUAAACUGUGUUUCUGAAGCAGGAAUGAAGGUUGUCCAGAGGAAAGCCCAGAUGACCUUUCACCGAGAGCCCGCCUUUGCCACAGAUAUUUGUGAAAUUAGUCAAAGGUGGAUUAACACAAAGAAGUAUCUUUGACUAAUGUGGAACAAGGCCAGCUUCUCGUGUUAGAGGACAAUUAUAUACAAAUUUUGAAGGAUGAAUUUUUAGUUAUAUACCAUCUUAUAUUUUCAGCUUUCAACUAGCAUACACAGACCAGGAUUACCAGAAGGCGAUUUUCUGGGAGAAAAAUGCUAGUUGGAAGAACAGCUGAAGCAGGGUCAUUCUUAGCCCUGGAACUCUGUGGGCUCUCAGGAACAGAGAAGAUUGGAUGUGGCUGGAGUUAGGCACCCAGCUACCAAGAGACAUGCAGAAGGUCAUCAGUUUAAUGAUAUACAAUGUCAUGGUGACCCCAUCUUGUGUUUCAGGAUCCACAGUUUACAGUUUGGCUGUUACUUGAUCCAUGGGAAUGCAUUGAGAACCAUUAGUUCACAAUGAAUGCUUUAAUGUUUUAGUUCUAAGGUUUUUAUAGUUCAUCUAGAGAGUUCUUGCAAAGGCCAUUCUGUUAAUGAAAUAGCUCCAUAUUCAAGAACAUGGCUGAACACAGACAACCCUGGGGAGUGAGUAACAUCUGGUUUGUUGGUUUGUUUGUACUUUAAGCCCAGACCUGUCUGCCUUUUCUAUCCAUGCUGUAUUAUUAAUCUUCCAGUCACUAGUGAGACAGUCACACAUCCAGUACCCAUCAUCACCAGUUCCUCCAUGCCUCUUUUCCUCCCCCGACUGGGGUUGUUUUUAGGAGAAUGUUGACAAUAGCGUGAAUGCACAGGAGGAAACCAGCAGAGAAUGUCACCGUGUUCAGAUGGCGAUUCUCAGUGCCCCUGCAGCACAGGCCUUUGAAUAGUCAGUAUUACUCUGGGUAUGGAAUCUACACAAGUAACAGAUGCUCUUCUCUGCUGUCUCUCUGUUCCUUCACCCGAACUCAAGAUUCUGUCUGACGACUACAUGCCAAAGUGAGUCAUAGUGAAGGAUGGAGAUGCAUGAUAAUCCACAAAUAUUUUGAAGCAGAAAAAUUUUACAAAGUCUGGGGCUUAAUUUGUUAUUGCAAUGGUCCUUCACUCCAGUUGUAGAAUAAACAUUAUGUGGAAGAUACUUUUUCAUAUGGUUUAUCCUAAGCUAAUUGAAUUAUGGUUUCUCAAAAAGCCAGAUGCCUCCUCCAGACUUUACCCCAUCAAUUCCCACAUCUCAUCCAUCCCACAGACCCAAUGUGAGCAGCGUUUCUUGUGCUCUGGCCCAGCCCAGCCUGGUGAAUGUGAGCCUCUUAAACUUACCCUGCCAGCACUCACCCUAAUCCUCAAAUGGGAUUAAAGACAAAAAUUACAUGGUCAUUUCAAUAGAUGUAGAAAAAGCCUUUGACAAAAUCCAACAUGAGUUUACAAGUUAAGUCCUAAGAGAGCAGGACUGGAGAGGACAGACUUCAACACAAUAAAAGCUAUAUAAGACAGACCUACAGCCAACAGCAUCUUAAAUGGAGAGAAACUCAAAGAAAACCCAUUAAAAUCAGGAAUGAGUUGGGACUAUCCACUGUCUUCAUUUCUUUUCAACAUAGUGCUUGAAGCACUGGGUGGAACAAUAUGGCAAGAGAAGGAUAUUAAAGGGAUACAAAUAGGAAAAGAAGUUAAAUCCCUAUUUGAAGAUUAUAUGAUGUUUUAUGUAAGAGAUCUCAAAAAUUCCACCAGAAAAUUUUCUCAGAAAGAUCAAUAAUUUAAAAAAUGUGGUAAGAUACAAAAUCAGCAUACAAAACCCAAUAGACUUUUGUACACCAAUAAGACACACUAAGAAUGAGAUCAUAAACACACCCUCAUUCACAAUAGCCCCACAGAAAGAAAAUGUUUAGGAUUAAAAAUAGAGAAGGAGGUGAAAGACCUCUACCAUGAAAACUUUAAUCUCUGAAGAAGGAAAUUGAGAGACUUUAAAAAAAGGAAAGACCUCCCAUGCUCACAAAUCAAUAAAAUUAAUAUUGCAAAAUGAGCAUCCUACCAAAAACAAUUUACAGAUGCAAUGCAAUCCCAAUCAAAAUUCCCACAAUAUUCUUCACAGAAAUAGAAAAAGGUAUCCUCAAAUUCACAUGGAAACUAAAAAGACCCCAGAAAGCCAAAGCAAUUCUGCACAAACAGAACAAUGCUGGUGGGGUAAACAUUCCAGAUGUCAUAAUAUAUUAUAAAACUAUAGUAAUAAAAACAGUGUGAUACUGACACAAAACAGAUUUGUAGACUAAUGGGAAAAAAUAGAAGACCUCACCAUGAGUACAUGUACUUACAGCCUUCUGAUACCUGACAAAGAUUCAGGAAAAAAAAAUCUUCAACAAAUGGUACUGGGAAAACUGGAUGUCCACAUGUAGAAGAAUGAAAUUAGAUUUGUAUCUAUCAUCCUGCACAAAAGUUAACUUCAUAUGGCUUGAAGACUUCAGUGAAAGACCUGAAACACUGAAACUGCUAGAAGAAAUCACAGGCAAUAUCCUAUAAGACAUAGGUGUAAGAAAGAACUUUCUGGACAGGACUUCAUUUGCCCAAGAAUUAAAGGCAACAGUUGACAAGUGGGACUUCAUAAAACUAAAGGUUCUAUACAGCUAAGGAAACAAUUGGGUGAAGAGGAAACCCACAGGCUGGGAGAGAAUCUUUGUCAAGUAUGCAUCUGUUGGAGCGCUAAUAUCUAGACUAGAGAAAGAGCUCAAAAAACCAAAAGAUCAAGAAAACAAAUAGCCCAGUUAAAAAUUAGCUAUGGAUCUAAACAGGGACUUCUCUAAAUACAAAAUAAAAAAUGUCUAAGAAGUAUCUCAAAAAGUGUUCAACAUCCUUACCAACUCUCUUACUCCAGGUAGAAUGACUGAGAGAUAUAAAAGAAGUGAUAAUAAAUGCUACUGAGGAUAUGGAGAAAGGAGAACACUCGUUCUCUGUUGGUCAGAGUACAAAUUGAUACAACCACUAUGGAAAACAAUGUCCAGAAUCCUCAAAAGGCUAAAAAUAGGUCUACCGUAUGACUAAUCAAUACCACUCCUAGGCAUAUACCUGAAAGACACAGUAUCCUUCUACAGAGAUACCCACUCAGCCAUGCUCAUUGUCACUUUAUUCAGAAUAGCUGGGAUAUGGAAGAAGCCUGGAUGUAUAUCGACUGAUAAAUGGAUAAUGAAAAUGUGGUACAUCUACACAAAGGAUUUCUACUAAGCUGUAAAGGAAAAAAUACAAUGUUCACAGGUAUUUGGUUGGAAUUGAGAAAUAUUACAAUGAAUAAAAUAAUGCAGACCCAGAAAGAUAAA